AGAGUUUGAUCCUGGCUCAGAUUGAACGCUGGCGGCAUGCCUUACACAUGCAAGUCGAACGGCAGCACGGGGGCAACCCUGGUGGCGAGUGGCGAACGGGUGAGUAAUACAUCGGAACGUGUCCUGUAGUGGGGGAUAGCCCGGCGAAAGCCGGAUUAAUACCGCAUACGCUCUACGGAGGAAAGGGGGGGAUCUUAGGACCUCCCGCUACAGGGGCGGCCGAUGGCAGAUUAGCUAGUUGGUGGGGUAAAGGCCUACCAAGGCGACGAUCUGUAGCUGGUCUGAGAGGACGACCAGCCACACUGGGACUGAGACACGGCCCAGACUCCUACGGGAGGCAGCAGUGGGGAAUUUUGGACAAUGGGGGAAACCCUGAUCCAGCAAUGCCGCGUGUGUGAAGAACGCCUUCGGGUUGUAAAGCACUUUUGUCCGGAAAGAAUA
rnacentral:rRNA from 1 species